CGCGGCCUAUCAGCUUGUUGGUGAGGUAACGGCUCACCAAGGCGACGACGGGUAGCGGGUCUGAGAGGAUGAUCCGCCACAUUGGGACUGAGACACGGGCCAGACUCCUACGGGAGGCAGCAGGGGGGAAUAUUGGGCAAUGACCGAAAGGUUGACCCAGCGACGCCGCGUGCGGGAGGAAGCCCUUCGGGGUGUAAACCGCUGUCAGGGGGGACGAACAACCCGGAGUCGAACAGGCUUCGGGUCUGACGGUACCCCCAGAGGAAGCGCCGGUUAACUCCGUGCCAGCAUCCGCGGUAAAACCGAGGGCGCAAGCGUUGUUCGGAAUCACUGGGCGUAAAGCGCUCGCACGCGGCUGCUGAAGUCGGGGGUGAAAGGCCACGGCUCAACCCUGGAUCUUUCUCUCGAUACUCCGUGCCUAGGGACCAGUAGAGGCGGGUAUAAUUCCCGGAGUAGCGGUGGAAUGCGUAGAUAUCGGGAAGAACACCAUACGCGAAGGCGGCUGGCUGGGCCGGAUCCGACCCUCAGGAGCUCAGAGCGUGGGGAGCAAACACGAUUGGAUACCCUGGUAGUCCACGCCGUAAACGAUGGGUGCUAGAUGCUGGGAGGAUCGACCCUUUCAGCGUCGCAGCUAACGCGUUCAGCACCCCGCCUGGGGAGUACGG
rnacentral:rRNA from 1 species